CGAGGGAUGGAAGGAGAUGGACCAAACCCUUUUAUGUUCAUAGUUUGGCCUUCUUAUCCUUGCUGGAGUUUUCAGAUCCGGUGAGUACCGGCCCACUUUAAGCACUGAUUACACAAAAAAUGGAGAAGCCAAACAUGGCCAUAACUCUUUAAGAUGUGAUAUGGAUGGAAAAAACUACUGUGUGUUUUCUCCCUCUCUCUCUGCUCCUGAGCCCAGCUGACGAUCCACACCUGCACCUCGUCAGCCACCUCCUCUGCCUGCCACACCUGCCAGCAAUCAGCCUCAUCUCUGCCAGUACUUCAACCCCGAAGUGAUUGAUCGUCGUUGCUCCUAACCUGGUUCACUCACCUCCAUCUUCCGUUGUGUCAGCUGGGCUCGCCAUCCUGCCUUCUCCCCUCGAACCUCUUCCACGGCAUCCUCCCGGCUCUUCCCCGUGCCUAGCCAGUCAGCCUGCCACCACACUCCUCCACCAACCUCCCCUGUUCAGCACUCCCGUGUCUCCUUUCUUCCUCAGUCCCCAGUGCCCCCGGCUCCCUUGUCUAUCUCCUCGUUUCCCCGUGCCCUGUCCCUCACCUCCACUCCCUCAACCCCUUCUUUCCCUUAAUAAAACCUGUUCAUCCUGA